GUUUGGGAGAGAGAGAGGCAUCUCAUUCACCAGGCAGGUUGUGUUUGGGAGAGAGAGAGGCAUCUCAUUCACCAUGCAGGUUGUGUUUGGGAGAGAGAGAGGCAUCUCAUUCACCAGGCAGGUUGUGUUUGGGAGAGAGAGAGGCAUCUCAUUCACCAUGCAGGUUGUGUUUGGGAGAGAGAGAGGCAUCUCAUUCACCAUGCAGGUUGUGUUUGGGAGAGAGAGAGGCAUCUCAUUCACCAUGCAGGUUGUGUUUGGGAGAGAGAGAGGCAUCUCAUUCACCAUGCAGGUUGUGUUUGGGAGAGAGAGAGGCAUCUCAUUCACCAUGCAGGUUGUGUUUGGGAGAGAGAGAGAGAGGCAUCUCGUGCACCAUGCAGGUGACUGACAAACAGUGGGAGGCGGCCGGGGGAGACGAACGGUGAUGUCUCCCUCAAGAAGAUGUGUGAAAUGAUCAGGUGAGGUUUGGCACGGACACACACACCUCUUGAGGAGCUCCCGGUUAAUGGACCAGCUCCCACAAGGUAAAAAAACAAAAACACGCUCUAUUUAUUAAAGUGGAAAAUAAUAUUUUACUUUGUCGUUGUCCACAUCCUGUGAUGAUGAUGUUGUUGUUGUUGUUUAUGUCGCUCUGCUGUCGAUGCUGUGUCUUCACCUUUGGGUUUUGCAGUUUUUAUAGAUAGGCCUAGAUACAUGGGUUUGUCAGUCCCCCACCCUGCCAAAUUACUUUAGGCUAUGAGGGCUGACAGACAAGUCCACAUGGUCAGUCAGAUAUUAUUAAUAAAUGUUUACUAAAUGUUGACAAACACCGAAUAACGGUUUUGCUUGUUCUGAACAAUUCAGGUUCACAAGUUUUGCUGAAUGGGCACCGAAUAAUUAGGUCAAAUGGCAACUGAAAUACUUGAUCAACCAGCUGUGACAGUGUGCUGCUCUGGUCCAGCUGAGAUAGAGGUAUAGAGAGGUAGACAGUGUGAGAGAGAGGGAGACCGAGAAGGGUAAGGAGAGAGAGAGAGAGAGAGAGAGGGAGACAGGUAAAGGAGAGAG